AGUAUUUUGACUAUACAAAGGUAUUGAAAUAAGACUUUAAUUGAGUGCUAAGAGAAUGGAAUUUCAUAAAAUUUCUUUUUUAAUUUUAAAAAUUGAAAUUAAUUUUAUAUGUGAAGAAACAAUAAUAAAAAUUAAGGACAAGAAGACCCUAAGAAUUUUAAAGAUUUCAAUAAAAUUUUUUAUUUUAUUGAAAUCUUUUAAUUGGGGCGAUUAUUAAAUAUUAAAAACUUUAAUUUUUUUAAAAAAGAACCAAUAAUAUUGGUUAUUUGAAAAAAUACUCUAGGGAUAACAGCGUAAUAAUUUUUGAUAGUUCUUAUAGACAAAAUAGUUUGCGACCUCGAUGUUGGAUUAGGAUUCUUUUUUAAUGAAGAAGUUAAAAAAAGAAGUUUGUUCAACUUUUAAAAUCCUA
rnacentral:rRNA from 1 species